GGGCCAGUGGUGUAUCUGGUGAGCACGCUGUUCUCGACACACAGUAGAACGGGUUCGAUUCCCGUCUGGUCCA
rnacentral:tRNA from 1 species